AUACGGAAGGUCCGGGCGUUAUCCGGAUUUAUUGGGUUUAAAGGGAGCGCAGGCGGAGAUGCAAGCGUGACGUCAAAUUUCGGGGCUCAACCCCGUCUCGCGUCGCGAACUGCGUCCCUUGGUUGCGGGAAGGGGAGGCGGAACUCGCGGUGGAGGGGGGACAUGCAUAGACAUUACGAAGAACUCCGAUCGCGAAGGCAGCCUUCCGGCCCGUCAACGACGCUCAUGCUCGAAGGUGCGGGUAUCAAACAGGAUUAGAUACCCUGGUAGUCCGCACAGUAAACGAUGGACACCCGCGGUUUGGCCUAUAUGGCUGAGCCGCCAAGCGAAAGCGUUAAGUGUCCCACCUGGGGAGUACGCCGGCAACGGUGAAACUCAAAGGAAUUGACGGGG
rnacentral:rRNA from 1 species